AACGCACCUUGCGCUCCUUGGUAUUCCGAGGAGCAUGCCUGUUUGAGUGUCAUUAAUAUAAAUCAACCUUCAACUUGUUUGAGUGGUUUGGAUGUGGGGGUUUGCUGGCCUUUCAAAAGGUUUCAGCUCCUCUGAAAUGCAUUAGCAGAACAAACCUUGUUCAUUGGUGUGAUAACUAUCUACGCUUAUGAAUGUGAGGGGCAGUUCAGCUUUCUAAUCGUCUUUGGACAAUUCAUCAUUAAUGUGACCUCAAAUCAGGUAGGACUACCCGCUGAACUUAA
rnacentral:misc_RNA from 2 species